CUUCCUGUGUUGUGACCUCUGUUUACAAUCCGUCACGUCAAAAAUAUAUCUUUUCGCUGGCUACUAUUAAGAACUUUAGAACUACAACUGUUCGGAUUACCAUAAUCCAAAUAUAAUUAGCAGCAAAGUAGAAAGCCGUCAACGUUGUGGCUCGGAGAGCGAACGCAGGCGACAACAAGUAAGCUCGCUAGACAAUGCUAACUAGCAAGCAUGUUUCGGUGCUUCUGAUCGUCUACCCGUCCUGCAACUCAGUGCGGCGUUUAGGCAAGAGGAACAGCGAGUAUCUGCGGCUUAGAUACAACAGCUGGAACUGUCCAAGCUGCAUGUGUGUGCCACCCGACUAGACUGGACUACAAAACGAGUCGAAGGAAAGAAAGCUCUAUAAAUAAUUGCUUUGUGGCAUAAAUUACACAACAGGCACACAAUCCUUUUUGUGCUUUUAACUUGGCAGACGCACGUCCCCGGUACGAAGGAAGACUACUCACAGCUAUCCGACUGGAAGUCUGGAACAAACUGCUCGUCGUCCGGCACCUGGGCUGUGGACGACACAGAUGGAGGAACGAGGUUAACGCACAAAACAACAAAAAAAAGUUGUCGCUCAGCAGGUUUUCACUACACUCAGGACUUUGCUCCACACAAAACACAACAAGUUAGAAACACUUCACAACCAUGUUAAUGUUCAACCUCAGAGCUCCCAGUCAGCGUUUUAUAGGGCAUCAGCAGCUUUAACAAAUCUAAUUUAAUGCCUUUUUAAUGCCACUUAGAACUGACUGCAGGUAGUUAUUAUAUGUAGUCAAAAUUACAGCUGUAUGUAUACUGUAAGUCAAUAUUUUGAAAAGUUUACAUGAACAGUUACUCUGGUGCGAGGGUGUCAAACUUGUUUUCACAUCUUGGUUAUGACUGCCCUCAGAGGGCCGCUUGUAACAGUCAAUAAUACACACAUAUUAACGUACAAGGAGUCGCCUCAUGAGAUUAUUCCACAAUUGCCCAUGCAUUAGAUUAUUAUUUUUGCACGUA